UGCCAGCCGCCGCGGUAAUACGUAUGAUGCGAGCGUUAUCCGGAUUCAUUGGGUUUAAAGGGUGCGUAGGCGGGUUCUUAAGUCAGUGGUGAAAUCCUGCGGCUCAACCGUAGAACUGCCAUUGAAACUGAGAACCUUGAAUAUAGUUGAGGUAGGCGGAAUGAGUAGUGUAGCGGUGAAAUGCUUAGAUAUUACUCAGAACACCGAUUGCGAAGGCAGCUUACUAAACUAUUAUUGACGCUGAUGCACGAAAGCGGGGGGAGCGAACAGGAUUAGAUA
rnacentral:rRNA from 1 species